AGAUCCUCAGUCUGGUCCGAUGGCUGAGAAGUCCCAGAAAGUCGGGGUCUGAGGACCUGCUGCAGCCUUCAUCUGACUUCACAGCUGUUGGGUUGUAAAACAUCACCUCCUCCGCCUGAUCCGCCGUGUAGAACUUCUUGUUUCACCAGAGGCCCAUUAGCUGUCUCAUGUUCAGUGUUCCUAUGGCUACCCUAGUGGCCAUGGAGCACACAAGGCCCCCACCACAGGAAUACCCAGAAUAACUCAGAACCAGGUGAGCAGAUUUUCGCCAGAUUUGGAAGGAUUAUUCUUUUGAUGGUGGACCCAAAAAGGAAAUGAUUUCUGGCAAAUAAAGGAAUCUGCACGCAGUGUCAACAUGGACAACCAGAUCAUUUAUGAGAGCAGCAGUUAUCCAUCAAAGCUCCC